UACAGAGGGGGCAAGCGUUGUUCGGAAUUACUGGGCGUAAAGGGCGCGUAGGCGGCCUGUUAAGUCGAACGUGAAAUCCCCGGGCUCAACCCGGGAACUGCGUCCGAUACUGGCAGGCUUGAAUUCGGGAGAGGGAUGCGGAAUUCCAGGUGUAGCGGUGAAAUGCGUAGAUAUCGAGAGGAACACCUGCGGCGAAGGCGGGUUGCUGGGCUGACACUGACGCUGAGGCGCGAAAGCCAGGGGAGCGAACGGG
rnacentral:rRNA from 1 species